GUUGGAGGGCGUUCCAGUGGAUGUCUCUCCCAGGGAUCUUAAUUCCCACUACUAUUGACCAGUUGGAGGGGCGUUCCAGUGGAUGUCUCUCCCAGGGAUCUUAAAUUCCCACUACUAUUGACCAGUUGGAGGGGCGUUCCUGUGGAUGUCUCUCCCAGGGAUCUUAAAUUCCCACUACUAUUGACCAGUUGGAGGGGCGUUCCAGUGGAUGUCUCUCCCAGUCCAAUGGGGUCUUAAAUUCCUACUUCCACUUGGUUAUGAACACAGCAUUCCUGUCUUAUGUCUUGACCUGCAUCUUCCACUAAACUAUUUGAAUGUGUAUCACAGUGUAAAAUGUGUUGACUGUUUGUUUGUGUUUCUAUGUCCAGGUCGUGGCAGCACCUACCUUCUCCACGUGGAGAGCUGCCUCGCUGAGCUGACCGCUAAGGCCUUCCUGUUCUCCUGUUCUCCUGACUUUUCAACUCUAACAUCGGGUAGAGCUCAGAGUUCACCUGGGGGUCAGGCACCACCCAUCUGCCACAGCCACUCGGACCUCCAGCUUCCCAGCCUCCCCGGGGAGGACGAUGACUUCACGCUGACUCAGCGUCGCAGGGACUUCCUGUGUGGGCGGGGUUUCAGCGGGGAGGAUGACCUCCGGGUGAUGCACUUCCUGUCUGACCUCAUCAAACAGCACCACGCAGGAAGUGGUCCUCCGGCCCUCCGGCCCUCCGCUUCUCCUACAGUGCUGUCCCUUUACAUAGAAACACCACAACAUAGAUAUACAGCCCUGUCCCUUUACAUAGAAACACCACAACAUAGAUAUACAGCCCUGUCCCUUUACAUAGAAACACCACAACAUAGAUAUGCAGCCCUGUCCCUUUACAUAGAAACACCACAACAUAGAUAUACAGCCCUGUCCCUUUACAUAGAAACACCACAACAUAGAUAUACAGCCCUGUCCCUUUACAUAGAAACACCACAACAUAGAUAUACAGCCCUGUCCCUUUACAUAGAAACACCACAACAUAGAU
rnacentral:lncRNA from 13 species